GAUGAACGCUGGCGGCGUGCCUAAUACAUGCAAGUCGAGCGAACGGACGAGAAGCUUGCUUCUCUGAUGUUAGCGGCGGACGGGUGAGUAACACGUGGAUAACCUACCUAUAAGACUGGGAUAACUUCGGGAAACCGGAGCUAAUACCGGAUAAUAUUUUGAACCGCAUGGUUCAAAAGUGAAAGACGGUCUUGCUGUCACUUAUAGAUGGAUCCGCGCUGCAUUAGCUAGUUGGUAAGGUAACGGCUUACCAAGGCAACGAUGCAUAGCCGACCUGAGAGGGUGAUCGGCCACACUUGAACUGAGACACGGUCCAGACUCCUACGGGAGGCAGCAGUAGGGAAUCUUCCGCAAUGGGCGAAAGCCUGACGGAGCAACGCCGCGUGAGUGAUGAAGGUCUUCGGAUCGUAAAACUCUGUUAUUAGGGAAGAACAUAUGUGUAAGUAACUGUGCACAUCUUGACGGUACCUAAUCAGAAAGCCACGGCUAACUACGUG
rnacentral:rRNA from 1 species